rnacentral:rRNA from 1 species
UGGGGAAUUUUGGACAAUGGGGGAAACCCUGAUCCAGCCAUCCCGCGUGUGCGAUGAAGGCCUUCGGGUUGUAAAGCACUUUUGGCAGGAAAGAAACGUCGCGGGUUAAUACCCCGCGAAACUGACGGUACCUGCAGAAUAAGCACCGGCUAACUACGUGCCAGCAGCCGCGGUAAUACGUAGGGUGCAAGCGUUAAUCGGAAUUACUGGGCGUAAAGCGUGCGCAGGCGGUUCGGAAAAAAGAUGUGAAAUCCCAGAGCUUAACUUUGGAACUGCAUUUUUAACUACCGGGCUAGAGUGUGUCAGAGGGAGGUGGAAUUCCGCGUGUAGCAGUGAAAUGCGUAGAUAUGCGGAGGAACACC